CUCUGAGUCAGGAUCCUUGUUGCUGGAGUCGGCUCUGGCCCAGGGAAGGAGGCUUCCCUCUGUUCUGUGCUUCCGUUUCCUUCUCUACCUCCUGAAAAAGCAGCCCAAACAGACUAAGACAGACUCAUGCAGAUGGAAGACGAUGUGAGGGCACAGAGAGAAGGCAGCUGUCUACAAGCCAAGGAGAGAGGCCUCCGCAGUAACUGACCCUGCCCACACCUUGAACUUGGACUUCCAGCCUCCAGAACUCCGGGUCCUCGAGAUGCUCCAGCCCCGCCUGGUUAUCUUGUGAGCUGCCGAAGGCCCACGCUCCCCCUGCCGCAGCUCCGUCCGCGUGUGAUUACAUCUUUCCUCGGUGUUCUGAGCCUUAAGUUACAGAUGCAGGGAUGAUGCGUUACAAAACCAAACAAAUCAGUCCUUAGGACAGGCGACUCAGGCAAAUCAACCAUCACCACCACAAGAAAACAAGCUUUCAAACCCACAAGAGAAGAUUGUAAUGCCUUCCUAACAACAUUGCUUUAUUGACGCAAGGCAAGGAAAACUACAUUAAAUUCUAUUGAUUCUCUUUGAGAUCUAAUAAUAUGCUUUAUUCAGAUCUUAUUCACAUCCCUCUUCUUCCACGGGUCUAUCUCAGGAGCUGAAAUUGGCCAGUUACAAAACAGAAUUGGUUCUGCUGUCAUUGGAAGUCACAGAGGCAAACGUGUUUUCGAACACAAAAUCUACCAUGCUUUCUUUGGGAAACAAGGCACAGUUGGGAAAAAAAAAAAAAUCUCACUUCUAAACAAAAUUGAAAGCAUGGCUAACUUGAGAUUUAUUUGAUUACAGUCUUUCUCCGGGCUAAUCAGUUUUAGAACCCAUUCCUACUGGCACCAAUGAGCCAAUAAAAGAUCCAGCAGGAGAGAAGAAGUAUCACAUCAACUCAGAGAAACAAGGUUGUUCAUUUUUUUAAAAAGCAUUGAGUUAAUGUUUACACUGCUGAGUCAAGUUAUUUCUACAUAUGCUAUAGGCUUUGCAUCUCCAGAAUAUGUUAGCAUUAAGAGUAUGAUAAAUUGUACCUGACUUACUUGUGAAAAAUCAUCUUGAGAAAGGUUUUUUUCCCCUGGGAAAAUAUGGAAAUGACACAUGGUGUGUACAGCCAGAAACAGCAGAAGGAGAGGCAGGUUUUUAGCUGUCACAGUGGAUGGUUAAGAAUUUCGGAUUUGGGUCAGUGUCAUUAUGCUCAAGUCACUUCACCUCGAAACCUCAUUCUUCAUCUCUAGAAUAGGUUCCAAACCCAGGGUUUUCUGUAAAUAUUCAAUAGUAUAAUACAUCACAGAGUUCGACAUUAACCCUCCCAGAGGCCAAUAAGAAUCCAAUAAAUGCCAGCUUCUCUAUCAUAUUAUUACAGAAGAAUGCUUGCAUGCUUUACCUUUCGUCUGUGGAAAAAUCACAAGAAGGAUUAAGUUUGUUGAAAAGAACGGUGGGUCUUGGGCCCCCUUAGCACAUGUUUUCUCCAUCCUUUCUAAAAAGUGAUGUUAACAAGUUAACAGGUGUUAGGGAGAAGGUGGAGUAACCAGAACCCUCCUACGUUGCUGGUGGGAAUGUAAAAGAAUGUAGACCUUUUGGAAAACUCUUUGGUGGCGCCUCAAAAGCUAAACAGAUAUGGCCCAGCAGUUCCACCCCUAGGUAUAUACUCAGGAGAAUUGAAAACAUGCAUUCAUACAAAAACUGGUUCAUAAAUGUUCACCGCAGGAUUAUUUGCUGUAGUGGAAAGGUGGAAAGACACAGCUCGAGUGUCUAGCAACUAAUGAAUGGAUAAACAACAUAUGGAACAGCUAUGCCAGGAAAUUUUAUUUGGCAACAACGGACAGUGAGGUACGGACACAAGCUACAACAUGGAUAAACCCUGAAAACAUGAUGCUAAUGGAAAGAAACCCGUCACAAAAGGCUACAUACAGCAUGAUUUCAUUCAUAAGAAACAUCCAGAAUAAACAGCUCUAUAGAGACAGGAGGUAAUUAGUGGUUGCCUAGGGCUGGGAGGGACGGCAGGAAUGGGGAGUGACCACUAAUGGACACAGGGUUUCUUUUUGGAAGGAUGAAAAUUUUCUGGAAUUAGAGAGUGAUGAUGGUCAGACAACUUUGUGAAUAUUCUCAGAACACUGAACUGUACCUUCUAAAAUGGUGAAUUUUAUGCUUUAUGAAUUGUAUCUGGGAAAAAAAAUCAAUGAAUGCUUAAUGUGGAAAAUAAGAAAACAAGGAAACAAAAAUUGUCAUUGUAGCAUCCAGAGAUAAUCACUGCAAAUGCUUUGAUGUAGAUCCUUCCAGACUGAUGCAAAUAUAUACAUUUA